UGGGACCACUGAUUGUUCCAGAGGGCCGGGGCGAACGACCUGGCCGGAUUCAUGCUGCAGCCGGUGUACGGCCCGAAAGCCAACGCUAACGCGCAGACCGUCAAACCGAAUCUGACAGGCACAGAGUCUGUGUUCUUCUCGUUCCUCGGGUCCCAAACGGCGCACGCGACCAGCAUCAGUAUGCCUGUCGCGAUACCCUCCAACAGAAGCCCCUGGAUCACCGACAGUUCUGCGUGCAAAUCGGUCACACAGAAUAAGUUUGUUUGUUCGGGUCCGCUGCUGGUCAAUCGGUUUGCUGGCGUCACCAUCUGCAACCAUGAUUUAUCCUUUUCUUAUAGAGUACUCGAGCAGACUGGACAGUUCUUUGAUAGAUUUGAAUAGCGACGAGACCCAAUGAAAUCGGUAGGCUACUCAAAGUCUCGUCAUCGUCGAAGAGGUGAACUCGUCUGGCAUAUCUAGCACGCGCGAUGUUUGCCAAGGGAUCAGCGUUACGUAAACUCUUCGCGUGACGACGAACGCGUGACGCUACCGAAUCAGCGAUUAUCCGAUCGGGGGUCUCGAACUUCGAUAAAAUGCGGCGGGGGCAAAGUUCCGAUUAAAUUAAGACCGUCUUAUCGGCCAACAACUAUUCCCACUUCCUCUCGUUCGACGCAGCCUUGGGCAGUGCGGUCGGAGAGCGUGUCGAUGUGCAUGGAAAAAUUACGCUCGGCGUUCGAGCUAAUAGGAUGAGAAAAUUCCUCGGGGCUGCCAUUGAAUGAAUAAACAGUUGGCUAACUUGACCGUCCGUGACCGACCUCUUCCGGCUCGCCAACUUUCGAUUCCCCGGGAGACCAAGAAAAGCACAGCUUUCUUACUCGAUCAGAGGCCUUAUAGCUAGGACCCGAGCACAUAUCGCUGGCUGAGGACAGCCUAGAGACAUCUGUCGGCACUCCUCGCGGCAGCGGCUAGAGGGCUGCUAGGAUGAUACCUUUCUCAUGGAUGCCUCCACCGUUAUCGAUUUUUAUGUAUUCCCUACUCGAAUAGUCGUUGAAUAUCCUCCGCUAAAUGCACGAGACACGGCCUUCUAGCUUAGAAGCAGCUCUUCUUCGAAACCCACCUUCAGCAUUCCGUAUCCGAUGACUGCUCCCAUAAGUUGCGAGACGAGGUAGACGACGCCUUCGGAAACUGUCUUCUUCCCGAGCACGAUCGACCCCACGGUGAUGGCUGGAUUAACGUGAGCAUGGCUGAUGUGUCCGACGCUCUGCAAACAGCCAGUAAAUAGUAUUGAACAAUAAGUUCUCGAGUAAUGUCGCGGAGCGAUCGAUCAUUGUUUAAUCUGGCUGGCUUUCGUGGACAUUAGCGCCGUCUCGUUAUCAAAAGAAGACGAUCAAAGGCGAAAAGACACAGACAACGCGAAUCGAGAAUCGCGACGAGUCGCGAGCCAAAUCAUCAAUUUGAUUAUCAACUAUCCCAAACGAACCUCUCGAUCUUAUCGAAGCCGAUUAAAUUUAAUUCCGAGUGGAGAAGCGGUCGAUAAAUUGCGCGAAGAUCUCGCGUGAUAUCGUCGAAGUUUUUACUGAUUUUUCAGCCGCAACCUAUACGCGGAGAAACUUAAAGUCCCUUUGCGCACCUGAAUCACGAGCAUCACUGCCAGGCCGAAGGUCAACGCGAUCUGCAGAUGCGACGGUACCACCCCUAGACUGGCCACGCAGCCCAUGCAGCCCACGAGCACCAGGAUAGCGGUUCCGAGUACUUCGGAGAACCCUGUCAACAGGGUGGCCUUCACGCCCCCGCCACCCUCCACCAGCUUCUUGAAGCCUGCAAAGAAAGGCCACAUUCUCGUUACCACAAAUCAAUCGAUAGUUUGCAAUCUAGACCAGGAAAAAUAAAAUAUGUAAAAUGGUCUCGCCUGCCCUGACCCUAAUACAGCGUCCCAGGGAAACGGUAGAAUUCGAAGAAGGUCAGACGGAGGAAGCAGAACCGCUGUUCCAGUCGCGAACAACGAAGAAAUUAAUCAACCAAAAAACCACUUUGUCGGUUCUACCCUACUUGUGCCUUGCGCAACCACAAGCAAAGAGUAAUCAUUACUGGAUCGUUCUCGAUGCGUUCUACAGGGCGAUAACAAAUUGGGACCCAAGGGGGAAUAGACUCUCUGAAGUCUAGGAGCACGCGGUAAACUCUUACAGGAUGAUUCAAAAUUGACGAGAAAGACCAAGGUGUUUAAAAGAUUCAACGAGAUCACCGCUUGCUUCGAUUUUCAGGGGUCUAAGGAAGAAGCAGUCUCUGGAUUCUACAGAAUGAUUCGAAGAUGGCGAGAUGUAAGAAAGUUUAAAGAAUGUAUCAACAUUUGGACCCCGGUCGAAGCGAUUGGAAUCGGACGCGACAGUAAUUUGUAAGCAACGAAAACAAUAAAACGCAAUAGCAAACGGAUGGUAAUCGGAGGAGCUUGGCGCGCGAGUUUUGAGCAAGCCUGUAGCCUCGGUGUCCUAUAUCGGGCCGCGACGGGAGAUCGAAGAUCUGGGGAACUCGCGACGCAGACUCCGCGAAUCCUCGCGGCCAUAGGCGCUGCAGGCCAUCCUUGCCGGCGUUGCUUGGUCGCCAAAGAGAACGAGGAAAAGCAAGAGGACGCGAACGGCGAACAAGGCUCGGAUCCUUACCGAAAUCUAAAGGCAUCCUGCGAUGUCUAGUUGGACGAGUCGGCGCGGUCGACGUGCACUCGGAACCACUUCCACCGACCGAGUAAGAAUUGCAAGUGCAAGAGGCUUGGCGCUGGCGCUCGACGAGAACGGCCAGACGAAGGACGCGCACCGUUUCCGUUGACUACCGUCGAUCCCACUGACUGCUAGGCAACGAUUAAGUUUUCAACGGUUGACGCAAGUGUCUCAGAUAAUCGCUCGUAAACACGAUCGGUUCUACGCCUAAUCUUAUCGUCCCAACUAAUGGUCGACAGAAUUUGAAGGAAUUUUACCAAUCGGUCGACAAACAAGUCCACCAAGUAAUGAUGUCAGACCCUGAGACCCUUGUCUAGACAAGAGACAAGCAUUGCCGAUCUGCCUAAGAGGUUCCAAGGAAGAUUGUAAAUGGAAGAGAAGGGAGAGAUGAUAGUGAUUUACGAUCGACUUCCGCGCAUGGGAUCGUCGCAGCACCGUCGCCGGAUGCUGAGGAGCGCAUGUAGGAAUUCCUGCAUCGAUAUUCCAUCGAGAAGCCAGCAUCAAACUAAUUUACAACCGGCACGGAACUCGUUGAAUAUCGACUGCCUUGGCAUGGAUACCGGCGCCUUGAAUCGUCGCUUAGAGGAUACUUUUUCUAGCUAUCGAGAUAGUCAAGUUUACCGGGAUAACUCGGUCGGUCACCGAUUACAUUAUCCAGGCCUGUCGAAGUUAGCCCCUGAUUUACGAUUAUCUAGAUUAAAUCGAUGCUAGAACCUGCCAAUACCCCCUGCGGAUGGAGCUAGAGAACUUUUGAACGAAGUUGGACCAGAUCGUUGUUAGAGUCUGAUUUCCUAGGGUACUCUGGACGAUAUCUAGGACCUGGGUGCUCAAGUUUUCAUCCAAACAAUAGGGAUACGAGAGAGGCGAUCGAUGGAAUAUCGGGGCGGGCGCGUUAAACGAAAUCGCUGGCACACCGGUGAAUCCCGGAUAGCGAGGAGUCGCGUGGAUCGCGGUACUUCGAUCACGAUGCACUCCAGCGGUGAGCGUUGCAUCGCUGAUCACCGGACGGCCAGAUCUUUAUGCGCUCGGUAUUAUCAAGGAUCGAUCUCGGACCCGAAAAUUCCGAAAAUAAUGAAGCUGCGUGCCUGCAUGUUCCAGAAUUCUUUGACUUUGAAAAUUAGAGUAGAGGGGUUAAAUUUAUUUAUACGAAAAAAAACGCUGAUUUUUCUGAAGGACUAUGAUAAUUAAUUGGAAUUUUUCAGGAUUCCCCGAGAUGCGAUUCGCUUCCGGUCUGGGAAUACGUCCGGUGCGAAUUCCUUCGUCUUUUUGCACAAUGAAACAAUCACGAUCGAGAUUGUAACAAAGAAGCUGCACUUUACAGCGCAACAUGAAGCGUUUUAUGUCUCUUCAGCGAAUCGCUGCGCUGGGAAAAAGCUGCAACUAACGCUUCAUGCUGUUUAUGAUGAUAAUCACCACGGAAUUACACGUUUCUUUGCCUUUUAUAUUCGUUUCCACGGCAGUAAUUGGUAAUUGCGAUGACAAACGAUAAUUUCGGUCGACGCAUAGCGCGUGCAGGCCGCGUUUCGUGCAACGCUAAUUAAAAUUCAAUUAAAUAUUGAAACACGUUACGUGCACCAAGAAAGAAAAUUAACUGAAAAUCGCAGCUUCUCGUUCUCCAUUAGUUACGCGGCUAUUUUUCCCGAUCGUAACUUCAUCGCUUCGCGCACAUUGUGUCCGGAACGAUUCCGAUCAUCCUCCGAAGCAACUAAUUAGCAGGAUUUCAAGACUGCGAAGAUAAGCAUCGCCAGGGAAUCCUUCGUGGCUAGGAAAACACUAGGAAAAUGAUAAUAGCAUCGGUAUUUACGGAAUUUCUGAUUCGCCAAGACCAUUGUGCUCGAUGCACCUGACGGCACAGGUGCGACGUUGUAUGCGCGAGGGCUAAAAAUAGAUCGCACACGUGUCUGAAAUGCAGAAAAACGGACAUCCAUGCACGAAUGAAAAGCGCGAACAUGUGCACACCGGUAAUCAGGAUACGGAUAAACAAAAGGAAUUGCCACAAAGUUGCCGGCCAGCAUGAUAUUACCGACGCGGUUGCAAAAACGAUAGCGAAAAAAAAUCAUGCGAGGAUGGAAGAGAAGGAGAGACGAAGAGAUAGAGGGAGAAUGAUCGGAGAGCGGCGCUAAAGCGGACGCGGACGCCCGUAGCAUUCGUUUUCUAAUUACUCGUGCAUGGAAAAUUUGUGCCGCCGACGAUCCUUCGAUCGCUCUAUUACUUUAACAGGAUCCGUUGCGCAACAACGUUUCUCAUUACAAUGGGCGUUCCGGAUCGGGAAAGAAAAUAAAGCUGGAGGGAGAAGAAAGGACUGGAUCUGGUAUUCGUAUCCAAGUGGGCCAUUUGUUGCCGUUGAUAACGGGAACCGAUUAAUCCUUCGGAUCGAUUCGAUGCAACGCGGUAGCUGCGUCUCUACAGGCCGCUCAAAAUCUCCCGAGCCGCUGGAAAAUUUCCAAAAAAUUCAUUCGCAUUCUAAACGUUACCUCGUAUUCAGCGCGGAAGCUGCGACGCGUUGCGUAUUCCGGAUUUUUUCGAAAUUUCUUGCGGCCAGAUUUCAGGGAACCAAAAUGCCGAAAAAAAUCUGUGAAUUCCGCGCACACUCCACGGUGCGCGUUUUGGAAUUUUUUCGGAUCGUCGACUCGCGGACACACCGAUCGUAAUAAAUUCGGAGACGCGUCGAGUCCUUUCGCACCUGCUUGAAAAUCGAAUCCUUGAGAGUUACUAAAAAUCUGUUAGCCGUAUCUCUGUAACUGUUUCGUCGAUAUAUCGAGGACGACGCGUCCACGCGAGCGAGGUUCGUCGAUCACCGGGCGAAACCAUCGAAUAUUUCCGAAACGCCAACCGUAUUAAGACAACAGCGAAGUCGCGAGUGCUUUUCGAAUCGCUAAC